CCCCACCACUCUCUCUCUCAUCCCUAAAAAAUCUCUAUCUCAUCCUCGGUCCACCCUCAUCCCAGGCGUCUCGCUCACCGGAGGAGUCUCGCUCGGCCUCUCCUCUCCCUGAUCUAGCCGCCACCUCUCGCCCUCCCGCGAACUCCAUGGCGACUGCGGCCUGAUCUGCAUCCUCGCCGGCCCUGCUGCCUCGCCGCCGCCCUACUGACCCCGUCUACCACGCCGCCGCCCUGGUCUUUAAAUCGCGGCUGCCCCACUUCAACCUGCCCACCGCCAGGUCCAGCACACCGUCGCCACCGGCCGGGAGAGGGACUUGGUGUUGUAAAACUAUUCUGUAGGGCGGCGUACAAGCUAGUCAUGCGGGCUGCGGCGGCUGACGAUGCUGGUUGACCUUCUCCUGUGCGUGCAGGGCAACAUCGACGCUGGACCAGAUGGACGAGCUGCAGUGCCAAACUGAUGAUUGCAGAUUAUGUGUGUGUAUGUGGAGAAGAUUACUAGGUCGAUUGUUUUGAUGUUAAUUUGUUUGCUUCACUCUGUUUAUUUAUGGCUACGACGGCGGUGGCGGCACACGAGAUAAGCGGAAGCCGGUUCGGAGCCACCGACAGUGUCUUCCUUGGAUUCAUUCGUGCAAUAAGGAGGGGACCUGGCCUUCUUCACGUGUCGAGCAACAAGGGUGAUCGAGGAGGAUUACCGUGGCCCGGUGGGUGUCGUGCUCUUCAACCACUUGGAGGUGGACUUCACCGUGAAGCCCGGUGACUACUGCACACAGAUGAUCAUCCAGGUGAUCGCGCCGUUGGAGGUCGUCGAGGUGGAG